CCUACGGGUGGGCAGCAGUGGGGAAUAUUGCACAAUGGGCGAAAGCCUGAUGCAGCAACGCCGCGUGAGCGAUGAAGGCCUUCGGGUCGUAAAGCUCUGUCCUCAAGGAAGAUAAUGACGGUACUUGAGGAGGAAGCCCCGGCUAACUACGUGCCAGCAGCCGCGGUAAUACGUAGGGGGCUAGCGUUAUCCGGAUUUACUGGGCGUAAAGGGUGCGUAGGCGGUCUUUUAAGUAGGGAUUGAAAGGCUACGGCUCAACCGUAGUAAGC
rnacentral:rRNA from 1 species